UGCCAUCUCAGCACGGCCCACGGCAAGCCUUGUCUGCCUGGCCACCCCUAGCCAGCUGCACCACGAACAGAAAGGAAGGGACAGUGGCAUCAGCUUCUCCUUCCUGGCACCCCAUGUGAGGAGUGACAUUAAAUAGCACCAGCGCCGCAGCAGCCACCACUGACACAAUGGCGGCAGGCCCGUGGCUGUGGGAACAUGGCAAGUGAUUCCCUGACGUAGAACCCAGACAAAAUCAACCUCUCGAUGCUGCAGGAUCCUGCAGGAAUCUUUGAAUUAGUGGAACUUGUUGGCAAUAAUACCUAAGAGCAUCAGUUUUUCUUCUGGUCAGAGAAAAUGAGGAAGUGAGAACGCGUGAGGGAAAACAACAUGGCAGCACCAAGAUAUUUGAGAAAGGUUUGUGCUUGGAUCCAUCCUCCUGUGCUCUCCAAAGCCUGCCUGAGUUUUUGAAAGACUGGGAAGAAAAUAUCAUAUAACAAAUAAGGAGUCCUUUCUCAGCAGCAAAGGAAAGGAUAAGAACUAGGUUCAGGAACAAUUCACCUGCUGCUAAGAGAAGUGACCCCUGUGGAAGUUCAGACAGGCUUAGCCAUGUUAUGAUACCAGCCGCAAUGUUUUCUUCUCUACAG